GGAGAGGGAUUUGGGACCCUGAACCCCUGGGAAUUGGGGAGGGGGGUCUUUGAAUCCCUGGGGUCCUUGGGAGGGGGUCUCUGAACCCCUGGGAAUUGGGGAAGGGGUCCCAGAAUUCCUGGUUUUCCGCCUGUCUCGGUUCUCCAGCACCAGGAUGAUUUGGGUGGGGGGUCCCAGAAUUCCUGGGGUCCUUGGGAGGGGGUCUCUGAAUUCCUGGGAAUUGGGGAGGGGGUCCCUGAGUUCCUGGGCCUUAUUCUGAUUCCCUGUGUCCCUGACCCCAUAUCCCUGAGUCCCGAGUCCCUCAUUCCCUGUGUCCCUCUAUCCCUCCAUCCCUCAUUCCUUCAUUCCCUGUGUCUCUCUAUCCCUCCAUCCCUCAUUCCCUGUCUCCCUGUGUCCCAAAUCCAGGGAUUUACAUCAUGGACCAUCAUUCCCAUGCUCCAGAGGAGUCCUGUGCCCCUCAAUCCCCUCUUUCCCUGUGUCCCUCAUUCCCUGUGCCCCUCAAUCCCCUCAUUCCCUGUCUCCCUGUGUCCCAAAUCCAGGGAUUUACAUCAUGGACCAUCAUUUCCGUGCCCCCGAGGAGUCCUGUGCCCCUCAUUCCCUCAUUCCCUGUCUCCCUGUGUCUCAAUCCCCUCAUUCCCUGUGUCCCUGUGUCCCCAAUUCCAGGGAUUUACAUCGUGGACCGGCGGUUCCGUGCCCCCGAGGAGUCCUGUGCCCCUCAAUCCCCUCUUUCCCUGUCCCAAAUCCAGGGAUCUACAUCGUGGACCGGCGGUUCCGUGCCCCCGAGGAGUCCUGUGCCCCUCAAUCCCCUCUUUCCCUGUGUCCCUCAUUCCCUGUGCCCCUCAAUCCCCUCUUUCCCUGUCCCCAAUCCAGGGAUCUACAUCGUGGACCGGCGGUUCCGUGCCCCCGAGGAGUC
rnacentral:lncRNA from 1 species